rnacentral:tRNA from 6 species
GGGCUAUAGCUCAGCUGGGAGAGCACCUCCCUUACAAGGAGGGGGUCGGCGGUUCGAUCCCGUCAUCACCCACCA